GUCUGAUUAGUUAGUUGGUGGGGUAACGGCUCACCAAGGCGACGAUCAGUAGCCGACCUGAGAGGGUGAUCGGCCACAUUGGAACUGAGACACGGUCCAAACUCCUACGGGAGGCAGCAGUGGGGAAUAUUGCACAAUGGGCGCAAGCCUGAUGCAGCAACGCCGCGUGAACGAAGAAGGCCUUCGGGUCGUAAAGUUCUGUCCAUAGGGAAGAAACAAAUGACGGUACCUGUGGAGGAAGCCCCGGCUAAAUACGUGCCAGCAGCCGCGGUAAUACGUAUGGGGCAAGCGUUAUCCGGAAUUAUUGGGCGUAAAGAGUGCGUAGGUGGUGGCUUAAGCGCAGGGUUUAAGGCAAUAGCUUAACUAUUGUUCGCCUUGCGAACUGGGUCACUUGAGUACAGGAGAGGAAAGCGGAAUUCCUAGUGUAGCGGUGAAAUGCAUAGAUAUUAGGAGGAACACCGGUGGCGAAGGCGGCUUUCUGGACUGCAACUGACACUGAGGCACGAAAGCGUGGGUAGCAAACAGGAUUAGAUACCCUGGUAGUCCACGCCGUAAACGAUGAGCACUAGGUGUCGGCCAAUAA
rnacentral:rRNA from 1 species